GCCAGAUGAUGGUCAUUAUAAUGACUUGACCUUGAUGCGGACUGUAUUUCUUUGAUGAUAACUUUUGGUUGCUGAUGGUU